rnacentral:rRNA from 1 species
AGAGUUUGAUUCUGGCUCAGGAUGAACGCUGGCGGCGUGCUUAACACAUGCAAGUCGAGCGAAGCAUUUUGGAUGAAGUUUUCGGAUGGAUUCUGAAAUGACUGAGCGGCGGACGGGUGAGUAACGCGUGGAUAUCCUGCCUCAUACAGGGGGAUAACAGUUAGAAAUGACUGCUAAUACCGCAUAAGCGCACAGGACCGCAUGGUCUGGUGUGAAAAACUCCGGUGGUAUGAGAUGGGUCCGCGUUGGAUUAGGCAGUUGGCGGGGUAACGGCCCACCAAACCGACGAUCCAUAGCCGGCCUGAGAGGGCGGACGGCCACAUUGGGACUGAGACACGGCCCAAACUCCUACGGGAGGCAGCAGUGGGGAAUAUUGCACAAUGGGGGAAACCCUGAUGCAGCGACGCCGCGUGAGUGAAGAAGUAUUUCGGUAUGUAAAGCUCUAUCAGCAGGGAAGAAAAUGACGGUACCUGACUAAGAAGCCCCGGCUAACUACGUGCCAGCAGCCGCGGUAAUACGUAGGGGGCAAGCGUUAUCCGGAUUUACUGGGUGUAAAGGGAGCGUAGACGGCUGUGCAAGUCUGAUGUGAAAGGCAGGGGCUCAACUCCUGGACUGCAUUGGAAACUGUGUAGCUUGAGUGCCGGAGAGGUAAGCGGAAUUCCUAGUGUAGCGGUGAAAUGCGUAGAUAUUAGGAGGAACACCAGUGGCGAAGGCGGCUUACUGGACGGUAACUGACGUUGAGGCUCGGAAGCGUGGGGAGCAAACAGGAUUAGAUACCCUGGUAGUCCACGCCGUAAACGAU